rnacentral:rRNA from 1 species
UACGGGGGGUGCGAGCGUUGUCCGGAAUCACUGGGCGUAAAGGGCGCGUAGGUGGCCUUGUAAGUCUGUGGUGAAAGCCCGGAGCUCAACUCCGGGUCUGCCGCGGAUACUGCGAGGCUUGAGUGCUGUAGAGGGGGGUAGAAUGCCGGGUGUAGCGGUGGAAUGCGUAGAGAUCCGGCAGAAGACCGGUGGCGAAGGCGGCCCCCUGGGCAGUAACUGACACUGAGGCGCGACAGCGUGGGGAGCAAACAGG